ACACAUGCAAGUCGAACGGAGCUGCUUUAAUGAAGUUUUCGGAUGGAUUUAAAGCAGCUUAGUGGCGGACGGGUGAGUAACGCGUGGGUAACCUGCCUCACACUGAGGGAUAACAGUUAGAAAUAGCUGCUAAUACCGCAUAAGCGCACAGUUCCGCAUGGAACAGUGUGAAAAACUCCGGUGGUGUGAGAUGGACCCGCGUCUGAUUAGCCAGUUGGCGGGGUAACGGCCCACCAAAGCGACGAUCAGUAGCCGGCCUGAGAGGGUGAACGGCCACAUUGGGACUGAGACACGGCCCAAACUCCUACGGGAGGCAGCAGUGGGGAAUAUUGCACAAUGGGGGAAACCCUGAUGCAGCGACGCCGCGUGAGUGAAGAAGUAUUUCGGUAUGUAAAGCUCUAUCAGCAGGGAAGAAAGUGACGGUACCUGAAUAAGAAGCCCCGGCUAACUACGUGCCAGCAGCCGCGGUAAUACGUAGGGGGCAAGCGUUAUCCGGAUUUACUGGGUGUAAAGGGAGCGUAGACGGCAAGGCAAGUCUGAAGUGAAAGCCCGGUGCUUAACGCCGGGACUGCUUUGGAAACUGUUUAGCUGGAGUGCCGGAGAGGUAAGCGGAAUUCCUAGUGUAGCGGUGAAAUGCGUAGAUAUUAGGAAGAACACCAGUGGCGAAGGCGGCUUACUGGACGGUAACUGACGUUGAGGCUCGAAAGCGUGGGGAGCAAACAGGAUUAGAUACCCUGGUAGUCCACGCCGUAAACGAUGAUUGCUAGGUGUA
rnacentral:rRNA from 1 species